AUUGAACGCUGGCGGCAGGCUUAACACAUGCAAGUCGAGCGGGGUGAUGGUGCUUGCACUAUCACUUAGCGGCGGACGGGUGAGUAAUGCUUAGGAAUCUGCCUAUUAGUGGGGGACAACAUCUCGAAAGGGAUGCUAAUACCGCAUACGUCCUACGGGAGAAAGCAGGGGAUCACUUGUGACCUUGCGCUAAUAGAUGAGCCUAAGUCGGAUUAGCUAGUUGGUGGGGUAAAGGCCUACCAAGGCGACGAUCUGUAGCGGGUCUGAGAGGAUGAUCCGCCACACUGGGACUGAGACACGGCCCAGACUCCUACGGGAGGCAGCAGUGGGGAAUAUUGGACAAUGGGGGGAACCCUGAUCCAGCCAUGCCGCGUGUGUGAAGAAGGCCUUACGGUUGUAAAGCACUUUAAGCGAGGAGGAGGCUCUUUUGGUUAAUACCCAAGAUGAGUGGACGUUACUCGCAGAAUAAGCACCGGCUAACUCUGUGCCAGCCGCCGCUUUAA
rnacentral:rRNA from 1 species